AUACGGAGGGGGCUAGCGUUGUUCGGAAUUACUGGGCGUAAAGCGCAUGUAGGUGGUGUGGCAAGUUAGAGGUGAAAGGCCUGGGCUCAACCUGGGAACUGCCUUUAAUACUGUCACGCUAGAGUUCGGGAGAGGGUAGCGGAAUUCCAAGUGUAGAGGUGAAAUUCGUAGAUAUUUGGGAGAACACCGGUGGCGAAGGCGGCUACCUGGACCGACACUGACACUGAGAUGCGAAAGCGUGGGGAGCGAACAGGAUUAGAAACCCCUGUAGUCC
rnacentral:rRNA from 1 species